GCGCUCCCGCGUCCGCGCCGUCUCUCGCUGUUGCCCUCGUACAGGACCCGCGUGCGGAGGCCCGGCAACCCGCGGCGGUUGUUGUUCUAAGGAAGAUGGAGGAGUGAACUCCCUGCAGUUUCUUGAGUUUCUCAUGUGUCUGAUUUUGACAUGAUCAAGCGUUUGGUGGAAGAUGUGCGAGCCAGGCUUCGCUCUGGAAUGACGAUCAACUCACUGGGGCAGUGUGUUGAGGAGCUUGUCCUCAAUAGCAUUGAUGCCAAAGCAACAUGUGUAGCUAUAAGGGUGGAUUUGGAAGCUUUUAAGGUCCAGGUGGUCGACAACGGCUCUGGGAUGGGGAGAGAGGACUUAAAUGCAAUGGGAAAGCGGUACUUCACCAGCAAAUGCAAAUCUGUGGGAGACUUGGAGAAGCUGACAUUCUACGGCUUUAGAGGGGAGGCUGUGGCAAGCAUAGCCAAUGUGGCCAGCGUGGUGGAAGUUUCAUCUAAGACCAGCAGGACAGCAAAAACAUUUGUGAAACUCUUUCACAAUGGGCAAGCACUGGAAGCCUGUGAAGCUGAAUUGAGCAGACCAAGUGGUGGAACUACAGUCACUGUGUGUAAUCUGUUCCAUCAGUUACCGGUGAGGAGGAAGUGUAUGGAUCUUGUGUUGGAGUUUGAGAGAGUGAGGCAGAAAGUAGAGGCUGUUUCGCUGAUGCAUCCCUCUGUUUCACUGUCUUUAAGGAACGAUGUUUCUUGUUCUAUGGUGCUUCAGCUCCCUAAGACAAGAGAUGUUUACUCACGGUUUUGUCAAAUUUAUGGACUGGGCAGAUCCCAGAAGUUACGAGAAAUAAAUCAUAAGUCUGGGGGAUUUGAGAUAAAUGGUUAUAUCAGCACUGAAGGGCAUUACAACAAGAAUAUGCAGUUCUUAUAUGUGAACAGAAGGCUUGUUUUAAAGACAAGACUCCAUAAACUAAUUGAUUUUUUAUUAAGAAAAGAAAGUGUUAUUUGCAAGGCAAAAAGUGCCCCUGUAAGCAGACAGGCUAGUUCAAGUCCUGGUCACCACCGUUGUGGCCCAGAGUUGUAUGGGAUCUUUGUUCUCAAUGUGACCUGUGCAUACGGUGACUAUGAUGUGUGUCUGGAACCUGCAAAGACUCUAAUUGAGUUUCAAAACUGGGAUGUUGUUCUAACUUGCAUAGAGGAAGGAGUGAAAAUAUUUUUGAAACGAGAACAUUUAUUUAUUGAACCAUGUAGUGAGGACAUCAGAGAAUUUAAUGAAGAUAAUGACUUUAGUUUGUGUAACGCUCCAGUUCUGAAGCCCUCACUCCCUGAUGAAAAGAGCAUCCAAGACAGUUUUAGGAAAGCAUGCGAUGAAAUUGUGGAUUCCUAUGAAAUGUGUAACUUGCAAUCAAAAGAUGUUAAAAGGAAAUCUGUUACUGGACAAAAAUCUUCAAGUCUUACAGAGUCAAGUAAAAAUCUACAGGAAACUGAAAUCGCCCCACAUCAGAAGAUUGAUGAACCAUCUGAUCCAUGCAGAAACAAUAAAGCAGAGAUUCCACUGCCGAGCGAAGAUGACACAGCUUCUGAUUUCCUUAUAUCAAAUAUCUUGGAGCAGGAGCCAAAAGACACUAACAGUUCCCAGAAAGUGCCUGAUGCUCAUCUGAAACCUUCAGGAAAUCUUCAUUCCUCUUUCAGUGGAGGAGCCAGGUCAGAAAUAAGAAAAACAGGCAGUCGUGGUGGCCUGCAGCAUUGUGCAGAGAAUUACAUAAAAGACAUGGGAAGCCAGCAAGGCAAAGUAGUGCGGAAAAGCAAUGAAGUCUGUAUCUUAAAUAAUGAUGUUACUCAAUUGCUGUCUGAGAGAGAAGACUCUAGUGAAACAGCAGUGGGAUCUGAAAUUGUCUCUGGAAAUUCAUUGAUGAGGCUGUGCAAUGCAAGAAGAGAAGACAGGGAAACAGCUGACCUGACAGAUGAUGCUGGAAGACGGGUUGUUAGUUCAGUACCAUUAAAAUUGUGUGCUACAGGCCUCAUUACAUGUGUUACACAAGAAGAGCCCCCACAUGAAUGUGAACAAACAGAAAUAAAUCUUGCAUUAAACAUGCAACGUAGACCUGGCCCUGUCAGUGCCAAGGAUGUGUUUGGCCACAAAGGGAAUUUUCAGUCUUUAAAUUCUAAGGAUGUUUCCAGUAAUACAAAUAAAGAAUAUACACCUCCUUACACCAGAGACGUAUGCAUGGCUGAUGGUAGUGAGUGGUUACAGAACAGCACUUUGUCAAAUGAGGCGAGUAAGGAAGCAGCUGUGCCUAUUGCCACCAGUAAAAUGUAUUAUGAGACAUCAAACGUUUCAGAAUUGCCGCUGGCAACUUCUUCAGGUAUUCCUCACAAUAAAGUUAUAAAACACAAUAGAAGACAAAUAGCUGUGCCAAGAUCUCAGCCCUCUGUGAAGCUGAGCUUGUCCACACAGCUGGGUUCGUUGGAAAAGUUCAGGAGAUAUUAUGGGAGGGCCAAGUGUACGCUACCAACACCAUUGUCAGAGCAGAGUGAAUUUGAUCUCCCAGUUUUUAAUUCACAAGCUAAUUGUGACUUUUCAAGGAAUGAUUAUGGCAAUCAUGGUGACUUGAGCACUUGUAAAACUCCGCCUGUGGAAGACACAGAUUCUGAUACUAGUAGCGAAGUUGUAUCUUUAGGAGAGACCUUAUUCUGCAGUGGAGCAACUUCAGAGGACAGACGAGCCCUUUGUCAGAGUCCUUUGACAUUGUCUGAUUACUCUCAGGUUAGUAACAACCAUGCAAGUUGUAAAAGAUCUCCAGGAUCAUUGUCGUCCAAACUGUCCAGAAUGAAAAGUGACCACAAAGAAGUAGAACAACUUAGUGAACAAUUCCCAACAGAUUCAAGUAGAAAAUAUGACCACUCUUUUGUUCCUGGACCUUCAAAUAAUGAUUUUUUGUAUAAUGCUUGUCAAACAUAUAAAUCCCCAGUGGAAAAAACAAGGGACUGUAAUUACAGUGUUUGUAAGGGGGAUGCAUGCUGGCAAUCGGACAGUACGAGUCUGGAGUCCAUGAAAAGUACUGUCAGCGCAUCACCGCUCAGCAGCACAGAAGAGGAGUACACAGUCUCUUCAAGCAGUGUUUUAUCAUUACCUGCUAAAAAGGAUUGUACUGAUGUCAUCUGUAAAGAUCAAAGUAGGUUAGAUGAGCCCUCAGAACAAAAUCUGAAAGAUACUGAGGCUCCCCACACAACCUUCCUAAGUAACUUGGAGUUCUCUGCAGACAACACAAGCACAGGCGAUCCCAGGAAUGAUGCGUGUUGUUCUGACUGGCUGCAAGAUUUUGAUGUUUCAUCGGGUAAGACGAUAUAUAUCAAUAAAGCAACUGGACUGAGCACCUACAGUACUCCUCCUGUGGAAGGAUUUCAAGCUGCCUGCAUUCAAGAUAUAACAACAAUGGCUGUGAAUGUUGUUUCAGAGAGCGAUGCUGAAGGGGAGUCUCUCCAGUCGUUGCUUUCAGAAUGGGAUAAUCCUGUUUUUGUUCCCUGCCCAGAAAUAGCCAUUGAUGUGACCAGCAGUCAGGCUGACAAUCUGGCUGUGAAAAUUCACAACAUCUUAUAUCCUUAUCGUUUCACCAAAGACAUGGUUCAUUCGAUGCAGGUACAAUAUGAUCUAUUACUAUUUUUCACAUGCAAAUUCCCACUCAGGAGAUGGGAUUUGCUAAUGUUUCUGACUGGUGGGAAAGAGGUAUCCAGGGAAGAGUUCAUAUCCCUAAUUUUCACAAGCACAAACAGCAAUUUUGGUUGCUGUGUGAUAACAGCAGACACAUAUGUCAUGCCAGAUCUUAGUGUAUCAUCGUAUGGUUGAUCACUUGCUAUCUGCAAGUGCCUCUAAAAUUCCUUUACUGUACGGUUAAACCAAUCAAGAGGCAACCCUGUUACUGCUGCUUAGAAACAUUGUUUAUUUCAGUGGGCAGGUUUUUUAUAUUUAAUGUAGGCAUUUGCGUAGUUUGUAUCCCUCUGAAAUCUGUCUUCCAUAUCCUUUAUUGACCUUAAAAAUUUAAUUCUUCAGCAGAGUGAUUUCAAAAGCAAAUCCCAGAUUUCAUGGAAAGACUUGAAAUUCUACUUUAAGAUUCAUGUCUGCCCUGAAAAGCGAUUCUUAAAAGUGGCAUCAGACUAUCAAGUUUAACUGUUUUAAGUGCUUCUUUAUAAAGUGUUUUAAAUGUUAGCUUAAAAGCUGAUGUAAAUGUAUAGCUUCAACUUACAUUCUUUGAUGGUUUGCCCAGAAAGAAAUGCUGAAGUGGAUUCUCUCCCUGUCUUGCAUCCCAGUGACAAAAGGCCUGCAGGCCCAGUCACCAUUAUCCUCUUGCAGUCAGGCUGCUGACCUUGAGAUUGCAGGUUCUGAUAUGUGGGGCAUGGUAAUGUUGAUCUCCAAGGUGGACAAGGAUCCAAAUGAUUCCCUUACUUAUGUUGUGCGUGCAAGAAUAACAGGAAUAAAUAACAUUAUUACAGUAAGCAGGUUAUGUUUCACAAAGAUAGGAGAGGAAAGCUAGAAAAUGAAAGGUACCAUUUUUCUAUGCACUCAUAAUAAGAACUGGUUUUUAAAACUUACUGAGUGGUUCUGUGAUUAACUUUACCUUGUGUAAUGUUUUUCUUUGUAUGUUUUUAAGAAGGUAAAGCUAGAAGAAAUUACCACUUCCCAUCUCUGAAGAAGCUAAAUACUGCCUCCAAUACCCUAUAGCAAUUUUGAGAAUCUCUCAAAAGACCAAAAGCAAAAAAUGUUGCAUCAUGCCACAGGAAAAGAAUAAAAAGAAUCAUUAACGUCUUCCAUCCUUGCAAAGAAAUAGGAUCAUUUUUACCUAGGAGGUGAACAAUGCACAUGUUGUGAGACAGAGACUUCAGAGUGAGCUCUAACUAUGUGACUUGAGGAGAAAUUCCUCCCACAUCUAUUGAUGUAAAUCUAGCAAUAAGAUACUAAAUGCAUUGUGCAUCCCUGGUUAGUAUUCCCUGUAGCUCUGGUUUAUUUCUGAUGCUUGAGAGGAAGGAGGAAUCAAGUCACAGGGGCAAAUUCUACAUCAGAAAAUGAGGGGGGGUUAAAAAAUGCUUCCUGGCUCUUACAGAUGAUCAACACAAGUCCUAAAACACAUAGCAGGUUAAAAAAGUUGUUUACAUUCUCUUUUGGUGAUACCAGCAAAUCAGAUAUUCGGAGUUGUUGUGCACGGCUUUAACUCACAACUCAAGGAGGCUUCUAUAUGACUAUUUAAUCUAUUCUGUAAAUUUCCAGCUCCAUCAUUGAAUAAUUAGAGCUCUUUCCCUUAUGAUUCUCUUUGAAAAAAAAGAUCCAGAAUUAUUUUAUUGGAUAUUUUGAAGCUUUCUCUUAGUUCCAGACUAAACUGUUUCAUGACCAGUUUAUGGUCAUAUGGCUGUCUGCCAGUCUUGUCUUUUAGCUUAAAUAAUCACUGCCUUUUCCAUAUUUACCCCCCACUGUAUUUAUAAAGAAUAAGUACAUACCUUCUCAGUCUCAAUUUUGCUAGGCAAAAUUCUUUAAGCCUUUGUGAUUAGAAAAGCUGUGGUUUCCACUCCCCUAAUCAUCCUAUUAGCUCUUUGUUGCACUUCAUCCAUUUUGAUUGUCGUCUUCUUUUGUUUACCUUCAUGUAAAGAAUAAGUUUACCACUGGGUAAUGAUUUUUCUGAGUAUCUUACAGGUUCUUCAGCAAGUGGACAAUAAAUUUAUCGCUUGUUUAAUCAACACUAGGAAUGAAAUGGAUAAAAAGGCAGGUGAGAGUGGUUGUUAACAUGAAGUCGAGGUUGCUGUCAAGCGCAGUUAGACUGCAGAGAGAACACUGUCCUUGUUUCUAUUCUCUUCUUGCCUUGGGGUGAUAUUGUGAGUAGAGGAAAAUGUUGGUCUUCAUUUGAAAUUUCCUGGAUCUUCUUUAUCUUUAUUUUGGACAUUGUUGAAUGUUCCUAAUGCCUUCAGAUUAGUGUAAUAAAAAUAGAUUGUACUCAAAUUACGGAUAUCUUUCAGACUGUUCACAGUAUCUGGACAUAUUCAUUGUUGAAGCUUACUGAAGCUGUACAAAAAAGGCAUUCAAAACCAGUAGGUUUUGUAACAUUUUUAAAGAUUGUAUUAAACAGAACAGUUUGUGGGUGACCUCAGGUCUCAUCCUGAAUUUAGAUGAGCAUGUCAAUAGAUGAGUUCCUGACUCAAUCUAAUUACCUUAAUUUAAAUGCCAGUUUGGAUUACUAAAUUUCUGUUCUGUAGUGAGUGACUUUAUGUUCUGCCAACACAGCUUCCUCCUCACUUUAUUUCUGGAAAACUGGCUGAUAGUUAUCUUCUAAAUGUGGCCUCUAGGGAGCAGUUAUUCUUCCUGACCUGUGCAGUUGUCUGGUACAGAGUUGUCUAUUUCUCAUCUGUUGUGGUACAUUUUUAGAUGGAAACCUCUUGAUUUUGGUGGACCAACAUGCAGCUCAUGAACGGAUCCGCUUGGAGCAGCUUAUUGCAGAUUCCUAUGAGAAGGAAGCUGCAGCAUGUGGCAAGAAGAAAUUACUGUCUUCCUCCAUCUCUCCCCCUUUGGAGAUUGAAGUUACAGAAGAACAAAGAAGAGUUCUACGAUGCUGCUAUAAAAAUUUGGAGGACUUGGGUCUUGAAUUAUCGUUUCCUGAGACGAACAGGUCCUUGAUUCUAGUGAGGAAAGUGCCACUGUGUUUCAUAGAAAGAGAAGCCAACGAAUUACGACGGAAAAGACAACCUGUCACUAAAAGCAUUGUAGAGGAUCUUAUUCAAGAACAAGUUGAGCUAGUGCAGACCACAGGAGGAAGAGCACGGGGGACGCUGCCUCUGACGUUUCUGAAGGUGUUAGCUUCCCAGGCCUGUCACGGUGCUAUUAAGUUCAAUGAGCAUUUGACUUUGGAGGAGAGCUGCAGGCUUAUUGAAGCUUUGUCAUCUUGCCAGCUUCCCUUCCAGUGUGCUCACGGAAGACCUUCCAUGAUGCCUCUUGCAGACACAGAACAUCUACAGCAGGAAAAGCAGCCCAAACCCAACCUGUCUAGACUGCGGAAGAUGGCACGGGCAUGGCACCUCUUUGGGAAAAAAAGACCCUAAUCAAAAAAAGCAGACUGUAAGCUGCAACCACUUGCUAUUGGUGUUGGUAUGAGCCAGGUCCCCCUGUUGUUAGACCUCAAUGCCCUGUGUGGAGCCAAGUUUCUGAGCCAGGGUGGUCACUGAAGUUCUGCUCCAAGUACUGACCUAAGCAGCAGAGACCAGCCAGGAGCACAUGGCAGGAGGAGCCCACCCUUGUAGCCUGAAGUGUCUUCACAUCGCGGAAUUGAAUUGUAAGCCUGCACCUUAUGUCAGUGCUUGACUAUCAGAGGCAAGAAGUUACAGCCAUUUACAGUUACUAAGGUGCUUUUUUUUUUUGCUGCAAAUGCAGCACAAUUCUGCAUAAGAGAGACUUAAUGUAUUUUAUAGUGACUUGAAAAUGGGGAGGUAUUUAUUAAUAAAAUUAACACAAAACUCUUUC